CUUCGUGGUGAGUGGCAGACGGGUGAGUAACGCGUGCGGAACGUGCCCUUCAGUUCGGAAUAACCCAGGGAAACUUGGGCUAAUACCGGAUACGUGCGAGAGCAGAAAGAUUUAUCGCUGAAGGAUCGGCCCGCGUCUGAUUAGCUAGUUGGUGGGGUAAUGGCCCACCAAGGCGACGAUCAGUAGCUGGUCUGAGAGGAUGAUCAGCCACAUUGGGACUGAGACACGGCCCAAACUCCUACGGGAGGCAGCAGUGGGGAAUAUUGGACAAUGGGCGCAAGCCUGAUCCAGCCAUGCCGCGUGAGUGAUGAAGGCCUUAGGGUUGUAAAGCUCUUUCGGCGGGGACGAUAAUGACGGUACCCGCAGAAGAAGCCCCGGCUAACUUCGUGCCAGCAGCCGCGGUAAUACGAAGGGGGCUAGCGUUGUUCGGAAUCACUGGGCGUAAAGGGCGCGUAGGCGGCUUGAUAAGUCGGGGGUGAAAGCCUGUGGCUCAACCACAGAAUUGCCUUCGAUACUGUCUGGCUUGAGACCGGAAGAGGUAAUUGGAACUGCGAGUGUAGAGGUGAAAUUCGUAGAUAUUCGCAAGAACACCAGUGGCGAAGGCGGCUUACUGGUCCGGUUCUGACGCUGAGGCGCGAAAGCGUGGGGAGCAAACAGGAUUAGAUACCCUGGUAGUCCACGCCGUAAACGAUGAAUGCCAGCCGUUGGCGAGCUUGCUCGUCAGUGGCGCAGCUAACGCUUUAAGCAUUCCGCCUGGGGAGUACGGUCGCAAGAUUAAAACUCAAAGGAAUUUGACGGGGGCCCGCACAGCGGUGGAGCAUGGUGGGUUUAAUUCGAAGCACGCGCAGACCUUACCAGCCUUUGACAUGUCCCG
rnacentral:rRNA from 1 species